UUAACACAUGCAAGUCGAACGAUGAUGGGAGCUUGCUCCUGGAUUAGUGGCGAACGGGUGAGUAACACGUGAGUAACCUGCCCUUAACUCUGGGAUAAGCCUGGGAAACUGGGUCUAAUACCGGAUAUGACUCCUCAUCGCAUGGUGGGGGGUGGAAAGCUUUAUUGUGGUUUUGGAUGGACUCGCGGCCUAUCAGCUUGUUGGUGAGGUAAUGGCUUACCAAGGCGACGACGGGUAGCCGGCCUGAGAGGGUGACCGGCCACACUGGGACUGAGACACGGCCCAGACUCCUACGGGAGGCAGCAGUGGGGAAUAUUGCACAAUGGGCGCAAGCCUGAUGCAGCGACGCCGCGUGAGGGAUGACGGCCUUCGGGUUGUAAACCUCUUUCAGUAGGGAAGAAGCGAAAGUGACGGUACCUGCAGAAGAAGUGCCGGCUAACUACGUGCCAGCAGCCGCGGUAAUACGUAGGGCGCAAGCGUUAUCCGGAAUUAUUGGGCGUAAAGAGCUCGUAGGCGGUUUGUCGCGUCUGCCGUGAAAGUCCGGGGCUCAACUCCGGAUCUGCGGUGGGUACGGGCAGACUAGAGUGAUGUAGGGGAGACUGGAAUUCCUGGUGUAGCGGUGAAAUGCGCAGACUAUCAGGAGGAACACCGNAUGGCGAAGGCAGGUCUCUGGGCAUUAA
rnacentral:rRNA from 1 species